rnacentral:lncRNA from 1 species
GUUAUGAGAAGGAGUUAAUUUUAUGUCAUUAGCUGACUCAACACCUUCACCAAUGCAUCCUAGAUGAAGACAGGUGGGGCUAACAGGAUGAAAUUCCAAGGGACCAAAGUCUGGAUAACUUCUUCCCCUGAGGCAGUAGAAGAAUCUGCUGAUGGAGAGACGGCAGAAUUGGAACCACAGGAGAGGGGUAUUUAUGACAAUCCACAGAGCAGAGCCCUCACCUUGUGGAGCAUGGUGGUCAACCUCAGUGGCCAGUGGAUGCCAGAUCUCUGUGAUGGGGACAUUGCCUUGAGUGGAUGGGCUCAUCAGGCACUGCAGAAACAAAUGUUAGGGGAUGCUUGGUGCUUCCUACAUGAAUCCUUCGCUUUGUGGUAAUUACGGUUGCUACCUGGAGAAAGAGUAUAGAACACGAGUGUUGGAUUUUUUCCUCCAUGAUUUAAUUCCCUCAAUUUUAUUUGGCAAAUAUGAAGAGACAAUUUUGUUUAUGCCUAUAGUUGGGAGAAUGCAGUGGAACUUUAAGUGUCUUUGGUGGCAAAAUCUUAUAAGGUCACAAAAUGACUAUGUUACUCCAUUCUUGAAAGUUGGUACGUGCACAUGAGGUUUUUGUGUGUCCGUGGCUGCUCUAAAUCUUUCUUGAGUAUAUUUCUAAGUGUCUCUUAUUCUGUUUCUCUCCCUCUCUUCCUCCUUGUCCCUGUUUUUGUCUCUGUCUCUUGAUUUUCUGUCUUUCUAAACACUUGCUCUGUCUCUUUAUUUACAUUAAAAUCAAACUGCCAUACAUAUUUUACUAAUUAUAUUUAUUAUAAACCAUUUGUAUUUUUUGCUCUUAAUCUAAAAAUCAAAUAAAUAGUGCAUUAUGUAAUUAUAUUUCUUGAAA